AAUCAACGCUGGCGGCGUGCCUAACACAUGCAAGUCGAACGCGAAAGCCCCGCAAGGGGUAAGUAGAGUGGCAAACGGGUGAGUAACGCGUGGGUGACCUGCCUCCGAGCGGGGGAUAACGUCCCGAAAGGGACGCUAAUACCGCAUAACAUCCUGCUUUUUAACAAGCGGAGAUCAAAGCUGGGGAUCGCAAGACCUAGCACUCGAAGAGGGGCCCGCGUCUGAUUAGCUAGUUGGGGGGUAACGGCUCACCAAGGCGACGAUCAGUAUCCGGCCUGAGAGGGCGGACGGACACACUGGGACUGAGACACGGCCCAGACUCCUACGGGAGGCAGCAGUGGGGAAUUUUUCGCAAUGGGGGAAACCCUGACGAAGCAACGCCGCGUGGAGGAUGAAGGCC
rnacentral:rRNA from 1 species